AGGGAAUAUUAGAAAUGGACGAAAGUCUGAUCUAGCAACACCGCGUGUGCGAUGAAGGCCUUCGGGUUGUAAAGCACUUUUUGGAAGGAUUAGGAAGGAAUGUACUUCCAGAAUAAGUCUCGGCUAACUACGUGCCAGCAGCCGCGGUAACACGUAGGAGGCGAACGUUAUCCGGAUUUACUGGGCGUAAAGUGCGUGUAGGUGGUUCUGUAAGUAGGGCGUGAAAGCUCCUGGCUCAACUGGGAGAGGCCGUUCUAAACUGCAGAGCUAGAGGAUGGUAGAGGGAGGUGGAAUUCCGGGUGUAGCGGUGGAAUGCGCAGAUAUCCGGAGGAACACCAGUGGCGAAGGCGGCCUCCUGGACCAUUCCUGACACUCAGACGCGAAAGCUAGGGUAGCAAACG
rnacentral:rRNA from 1 species